GACGAACGCUGGCGGCGUGCUUAACACAUGCAAGUCGAACGGAAAGGCCCUGCUUUUGUGGGGUGCUCGAGUGGCGAACGGGUGAGUAACACGUGAGUAACCUGCCCUUGACUUUGGGAUAAAUUCAGGAAACUGGGGCUAAUACCGGAUAGGAGCUCCUGAUGCAUGGUGGGGGUUGGUAAGUUACGGCGGUUGGGGAUGGACUCGCGGCUUAUCAGCUUGUUGGUGGGGUAGUGGCUUACCAAGGCUUUGACGGGUAGCCGGCCUGAGAGGGUGACCGGCCACAUUGGGACUGAGAUACGGCCCAGACGCCUACGGGAGGCAGCAGUGGGGAAUAUUGCACAAUGGGCGGAAGCCUGAUGCAGCAACGCCGCGUGCGGGAUGACGGCCUUCGGGUUGUAAACCGCUGUCGCCUGUGACGAAGCGUGAGUGACGGUAAUGGGUAAAGAAGCACCGGCUAACUACGUG
rnacentral:rRNA from 1 species